CCUAAGGUAGCGAAAUUCCUUGUCGGGUAAGUUCCGACCUGCACGAAUGGCGUAAUGAUGGCCAGGCUGUCUCCACCCGAGACUCAGUGAAAUUGAACUCGCUGUGAAGAUGCAGUGUACCCGCGGCAAGACGGAAAGACCCCGUGAACCUUUACUAUAGCUUGACACUGAACAUUGAGCCUUGAUGUGUAGGAUAGGUGGGAGGCUUUGAAGCGUGGACGCCAGUCUGCGUGGAGCCAACCUUGAAAUACCACCCUUUAAUGUUUGAUGUUCUAACGUUGACCCCUAAUCGGGGUUGCGGACAGUGUCUGGUGGGUAGUUUGACUGGGGCGGUCUCCUCCUAAAGCGUAACGGAGGAGCACGAAGGUCAGCUAAUCCUGGUCGGACAUCAGGAGGUUAGUGCAAUGGCAUAAGCUAGCUUGACUGCGAGCGUGACGGCGCGAGCAGGUGCGAAAGCAGGUCAUAGUGAUCCGGUGGUUCUGAAUGGAAGGGCCAUCGCUCAACGGAUAAAAGGUACUCCGGGGAUAACAGGCUGAUACCGCCCAAGAGUUCAUAUCGACGGCGGUGUUUGGCACCUCGAUGUCGGCUCAUCACAUCCUGGGGCUGAAGCCGGUCCCAAGGGUAUGGCUGUUCGCCAUUUAAAGUGGUACGCGAGCUGGGUUUAGAACGUCGUGAGACAGUUCGGUCCCUAUCUGCCGUGGACGUUUGAGAUUUGAGAGGGGCUGCUCCUAGUA
rnacentral:rRNA from 1 species